UUCGUUAACGAACGAGACCUUAACCUGCUAAAUAGUUGGGUUCACUUUGGUGGACGUUCAACUUCUUAGAGGGACUAUAGACGUUUAGUCUAUGGAAGUUUGAGGCAAUAACAGGUCUGUGAUGCCCUUAGAUGUUCUGGGCCGCACGCGCGCUACACUGAUAACAGCAGCAAGUAAUUCACCUUGGCCGGAAGGUCUGGGUAAUCUUCUGAAAUGUUAUCGUGCUGGGGAUAGUCCUUUGCAAUUAUUGGACUUCAACGAGGAAUUCCUAGUAAGCGUGAGUCAUCAGCUCGCGUUGAUUACGUCCCUGCCCUUUGUACACACCGCCCGUCGCUAAUACCGAUUGAAUGGAUU
rnacentral:rRNA from 1 species